CUCAUCUCUCUUAUCCUCUUCCCAUCUCUCUUUCUCCUCUGCUCAUGAACAUUUACUUUUCUUCUUUCAAGCAAAUGGAUCUGAACGAAGAGGAUUGCCACCGUCAUGCUUCUCACCACCAUGCUCCUUUCUAUUCGGUUGCGCUCUUCACCACCACCACCACCGCACGCUCGUCAACACCACCACCGGAAAGUGGAGGAGGCACAGGAGAUUGAUGAAUGAGGAACAGGAGAUUGAUGGAGGAGGUAGCAGUGGUGGGUCGUGAGCAGAGCCGGCUUGAAUGUUGAAGACGAAGAAGCUCGGUGAGGAGGCGGCAGGCGGCGGAGAAUAUACAUUAGGUUUAGAUUAGGGUUAGGUAUAUUUUUAAUUUGGUUUAGUAUGCUAAACCGAUUUUAUUUCUCAAUAGUUUGAUAAAUCGUUUUAAAUUUUGUAAGCCAAUUUGAUAUAUAAAAUAUAAUUUUCUAAUA